AACACCAAAAAUUUAACCCCAAUCUGCCUUUGCGGCGCCGCCUGUCGACUACCAUUCCCAGUGCCAGGCCCACCCCCUUUGCCCGUGUCCACCACUGCAUGCAGAAGCACUGCCAUCAUGUCUGACAAAUUGCCCUACAAAGUCGCUGACAUCAGCCUGGUGGACUGGGGAUGCAAGGCCACGGACCUUGCAGAGAACGAGAUGCCAGGCCUGAUGUGCAUGAGGGAGAUGUACUUGGCCUCCAAGCUGCUGAAGGGCGCCCGCAUCGCCAGCUGCCUGUACAUGACUAUGGAACCUGCUGUCCUCAUUGCGACCCUCAUCGCCCUGGGUGCUGAGGUGCUGAAGUGCAGUGGUCUACCUGCAACAUCUUCUCCACCUAGGACCAUGCAGCAGCUGCCAUUGCCAAGGCAGGCAUUCCAGUGUAUGCCUGGAAGGGUGAGACUGACCAGGAGUACCUGUGGUUCAUUGAGCAGACGUACUUCAAGGAUGGGUCUCUCAACAUGGUUUUGGAUAAUAGUGGUGACCUUACCAACCUUAUCCACACCAAGAACCCACAGCUCCUAUUGGGCAUCUGAUGCAUCUCUGAGGAGACCACAACUGAGGUCCACAACCUAUACAAGAUGAUGGCCAAUGGGAUCCUGAAAGUGCCCACCAUCAAUGUCAAUGACUCUGUCACCAAGAGCAAGUUUGACAACCUCUAUGGCUGCAGGGAGUCCCUCAUUGAUGGCAUCAAACGGGCCACAGAUGUGAUGAUUGCAGGCAAGGUGGCAGUAGUAGCAGGCUAUGGUGAUAUAGGCAAAGGCUGUGCCCAGGCUCUGAGAGGUUUCGGGCCCACGUCAUCACCACCAAGGCUCCCAUCAUCACACUACAGGCUCCCAUGGAGGGCUGUCAAGAGGGCAACAUCUUUGUCACCACCACAGGCUGUAUUGACAUAAUUCUUGGUCGGCACUUUGAGCAGAUGAAGGAUGAUGCUGUCAUGUGUAACACUGGACACUUUGAUGUGGAGACAGAUGUCAAGUGGCUUAAUGAGAAUGCUGUAAAGAAGGUGAACAUUAAGCCCCAGGUGGAUUGAUACUUGCUGAAGAAUGGGUGCCGCAUCAUCCUGCUGGACGAGGGCCGGCUGGUCAACCUAGGUUGUGCCAUGGGCCACCGCAGCUUCUUGGUGAGCAAUUCCUUCACCAACCAGGUUCAGCACAUAUUGAACUUUGGACUCACCCAGACAAGUACCCCAUUGGGGUUCACUUCCUGCCUAAAAAGCUGGAUGAGGCAAUGGCUGAAGCCCACCUGGGUAAGCUGAACGUGAAGCUGACCAAGCUGACUAAGAAGCAGGCCAAGUACCUGGGUAUGCCCCGUGAUGGCCCCUUCAAGCCUGAUCACUACCGCUACUGAGAGACAGGCCUGCUCUGCACCUUUCAGCUGCUGUCAUUGCCCAGGCCCCACCUCACCUCCCCAAGAUCAGAUGGUACCAACUCUGAGACUGGUUUGUCUAUGUGCCUCUACUGACUCCCUGGGGCUGUUCACUCAAGUCUGCGGCUUCUGCUGAAUCCCUCAACUGCUCUAAGUGUGGCAGGGGGAAUUGAGAGGGCUCUCCUCAAGGGCUGCUCAUGAGAGAAGGAUAUAUCUGCAGUAUACCAUGAGCUCGGUGGUCCUGGAACUGCUCACUAGUCAGUCCUUUAGGCUGGAAGUUGGUAGUGGUGGUCACAAAACCCAUGUAUCUUAUCCUCUAGACUUUUCACCUAGCCUGUGGGCCCAUGUGUUUGGUUUACAGGUUAACUAGUCCAUCAGACCAUGACAGAUGAGAAUAAGCUUUUUUUUUUUUUUUUUUUUGAAAU